AACAUCUUCUGCCCUUACUGCCGUCUCUUCCCUAUUUCCGGGUUCUCGAGCAUUUCUAUUGGCCAAAUUACUGGUUACACGUGACAUACUCGGCUUUUAAAAUCCCUAUUUGUCCACUCCAAGACUUUCCUCGUCGCACAACCUGGAAGAGCCGGCCCAGCCGCUUCUCUAUUGGCGGUUCCUCCAUUCAUGUGACUCUUCCGCACACGCCCUCAAAGCUGAGGCUGAGAACUUGCUUCCUGAUUGGUAGCCGAGCGAAUCCACGUGACUUGGCCGCUAAUGCCCGCCCAACCCGCUCCCCUAUUGGUUGAGAACGCAGCCCUUCAGCUGCCACGGUGAGAACGCAGCACUCGGGCUACGAAGCGGAUCUCGCAGGCUCGGAGUGUCAGCUGCCGGUUCGGCGCCAUGGCGUCCCAGGGUCGUCGGCGGAGGCCGGAGACGGUGGUGCCGGGGGAGGCGACCGAGACGGAUUCCGAGCCCUCUGCGUCCUCGUCAGAGGAGGAGGAGCUGUACCUGGGUCCUUCGGGCCCGACGCGCGGCCGCCCCACGGGGCUGCGGGUGGCUGGGGAGGCCGCGGAGACCGACUCGGACCCGGAGCCGGAGCCGACGGCCGCGCCGAGGGACCUGCCUCCACUCGUGGUGCAGCGGGAAUCGGCGGAGGAGGCCUGGGGUGCGGAGGAGGCCCCGGCGCCCGCCCCCGCGCGCUCGCUCCUGCAACUUCGGCUGGCUGAGAGCCAGGCGCGGCUGGACCACGACGUGGCGGCCGCCGUGAGCGGUGUGUACCGCCGUGCGGGCCGCGACGUGGCCGCCCUGGCUAGUAGGCUGGCGGCAGCCCAGGCGGCGGGGCUGGCGGCGGCCCACAGCGUGCGCCUGGCGCGCGGGGACCUUUGUGCGCUGGCCGAGCGUCUGGACAUCGUGGCUGGCUGCCGUCUGCUGCCGGACAUCCGCGGCGUGCCGGGGACCGAGCCUGAGCAAGACCCGGGGCCGCGGGCCUAGCCAUGAUUCUACUUCCCAGCUUGACUCUGCAAUUUGGGGUGAACAAUGUGGCAUGCUGUAUGCGCAGGGACGCUUGAGGAAGCCGCUCGACUGUGAGAACGUCGCCAGAGUGAAACCGAGUCCUAGCCCACCCGGCACCUCUUCCUCCAACUCUUUACUGCCCUCUGUUGGAAAACCCGCAUAAUAUACAAAGGAGUCUCUCUCUGUGGCCACCACUGCUCCGGGCCCAUGGCGGGUACUGCCUGGCUACCGCUGAUGUUCACUCAAGGCCCAAGCCCUCUUCAGUCAGCUUGUGAUGGAGUCUCACUGUGUCGCCCAGACUGGAGUGCAGUGGCGUGAUCUCGGCUCACUGCAAUCUCUGCCUCCCCGGUUCAAGCAAUUCUCCUGCCUCAGCCUCCCGAGUAGCUGGGAUUACAGGUGCUGGCCACCACACCUGGCUGAUUUUUGUUUUGCCUUUUUUUUUUUUUUUUCGAGAUAGAGUUUUGCUCUUGUUGUCUAGGCUGGAGUGCAAUGGUGUGAUCUCGGUUUACUGCAACCUCCGCCUCCUGGGUUCAAGUGAUUCUCCUGCCUCAGCCUCCCGAGUAGCUGGGAUGACAGGCACCCGCCAUCACGCCCCAGCUAAUUUUUUUGUAUUUUCAGUAGAGACAGGGUUUCACCAUGUUGGCCAGGCUGGUCUUGAACCCCUAACCUCAGGUGAUCCAUGUGCCUCAGCCUCCCAAAGUGCUGGGAUUACAGGUGUGAGCCACUGCGCCCUGCCAAAUGAGCCCAUGAUUGGGUAGAGUUUCUCAACUAGUUGCAUUCAGAUGGCAGCUGGGCUGGAAAUCCAAGAUGGCAUCUUACAUGUCUGACAUCUCAGUUGGGAUGGCUAGAUCAGCUGCGGCUGACCAGUUAUCUGUCUCUCUCUCCAUGCAGCCUCUUGCCAUGCCCAGCUUCAGCUUCUGCAUAGCAUGGCAGUCUCAGGAUAUUCAGAAUUUUUUUUUUUUUUUCCCAGAUGGAAUCUCACUCUGGCACCAAGGCUAGAGUGCAGUGGCACUGCAACCUCCACCUCCAGGGUUCAAGCGAUUCUCGUGCCUCAGCCUCCUGAGUAGCUGGGAUUACAGGCAUGCAUCACCAUGCCUGGUUAAUUUUUUUGUAUUUUUAGUAGAGACAGGGUUUCUCCAUGUUUGCUAGGCUGGUCUCAAACUCCUGACCUCAUGUAAUCCCCCCGCCUUGGCCUCCCAAAGUGCUAGGAUUACAUGUGUGAGCUGCCAUGCCUGGCUGAAAAUAAUAGAUUUAUAGCUAACCAUACUAAUAAUUGCAUUCACUCUAAAUUAUGUAAACAUCCAAUUAUAAGACAGAGAUUUCAGACUAAAUGAAAAAGCAUGACCCAACACUAUGCUGCCCACAAGAAAUUUUUUGUGUGUGUGUGAGACAGAGUCUUGCACUGUCACCCAGGCUGGAGUACAGUGGCAUGAUCUCGGCUCACUGCAACCUCCACUUCCCGGGUUCAAGCAAUUCUCUUUUCUUAGCCUCCCAAGUAGCUGGGAUUACUGGUGCCCACCACCACACCCAGCUAAUUUUUUGUAUUUUUAGUAGAGAUGAGGUUUCACUAUGUUGGCCAGGCUGGUCUCGAACACCUGACCUUGUGAUCCACCCGCUUCAGCCUCCCAAAGUGCAGGGAUUACAGGCGUGAGCCACCGCACCCGGCCAAAAUACACUUUAAAUAGAAAGACGUUCUGUACAAAAGUUAACUCAAAAUGGACCACAUCACUAAAUGCAAAACUUUAUAACAUUUCUAGAAGGAAACAUAGGAGAAAAUCUUUGUGACCCUAGAUGAUGCAAAAGUUCAUUAUAUACAAAAGUUCAUUAUGUACAAGCAUGAUCAUAAGAGAAAACCUUGAUAAAUUAGAUUCCAUCAAAAUUAAAAACUUCUGCUCUUCAACAAACAUUAUUAAGAGAAGGAAGAGAUAAGCCAAACAGUGGGAGAAAAUAUUUGCAAAUUUAAACAACUAGUAUCCAAAUAUUUUAAGAACUCUUAAAAGUCAAUAGCAAGAAAACAAACAACCCAAUUAUUUAAAAAGGGCAAAUGAUUUGAAUAAACACUUCACUAACGAAGAUAUGCAGAUGACAAACAAGUACACAAAAAGCUGCUCAACAUCCUCAAUCGUUAGAGAAAUGCAAAUGAAAACCACAAGGUCACUCUCCACCUAUUAGAGUGGUCAUCAUGGAGAAAAGAGGCAGAGUGAUUGCUUGAGGCCAGGAGUUUGAGACCAGCUUGGGCAACAUAUCGAGACACCGUCUCUACAAACAUAAAAAUUAGGGGCCGUGCGCAGUGACUCACGCCUGUAAUUCCAGCACUUUGGCAGGCUGUGGCGGGUGGAUCACCUGAGGUCAGGAGUUCGAGACCAGCCUGGCCAACAUGGUUAAACCCCGUAUCUAGUAAAAAAAAAAAUAUAUAUAUAUACAAAAAAUUAGCCAGGCAUGGUGGCGCGUGCCUGUAAUUCCAGCUAUUCGGGAGGUUGAGGCAGGAGAAUCACUUGAACCCAGGAGGUGGAGGUUGCAGUGAGUUGAAAUCCCGUCAUUGCACUCCAGCCUGGUCAACAAGAGUGAAACUCCAUCUCAAAAAAAAAAAAAAAUCUAUUAUUUUCAUGCUUUUUCCUGAUUCAUCUGGUCAUUGUUCUCUUUUUCCACCUUCUUUUGGAUGAAUCAAGUUUUUUUCUGAGCAAGGAUCUCACUCUUUUGCCCAGGCUGGAGUGCAGUGGUGUGAUCAUGGCUCACUUCUGCCUCGAACUCCUGGACAAAAGUGAGCCUCCUACCACAGCCUCUCUAGUAGCUGAGACUAUAGGCGUGUGCCCCCACACCUAGUUAAUUUUUUUUUUUUUUAAUAGAGAUGGUGUCUCAUGUGCUGCCCAGGCUGGACUCGAACUCCUGGGCUCAAGUGAUUCCUCCCGCCUUGGCCUCCCAAAGGGCUGGGAUUACAGGCGUGAGCCACUAUGCCUGGCUGGAUUAAUCAAGUAAUUUUUUUUAUGAUUCCAUUUUAUCUCUUUUGUGGGCUUAUUAGCUAUAGCUCUUUGUUUUAUUAUUUUAUUUAUUUAUUUAUUUAUUUGAGAGUUUCCCUCUUGUCACCCAGGCUGGAGAGCAGAGGCACGACCUAGGCUCACUACAACCUCUGCCUCCCGGGUUCAAGUGAUUCCCCUGCCUCACUCAGCCUCCGGAGUAGCUGGGAUUACAGGUGCUCGCCACCAUGCCCAGCUAAUUUGUUUUAAUAGAGAUAGGGUUUCACCAUGUUGGCCAGGCUGGUCUUGAACUCCUGACCUCAAGUGAUCCACCCACCUCAGCCUUCCAAAGUGCUAGGAUGACAGGUGUAAGCCACCGCGCCCAGCUAUUUUAUUUUUUUCGAGACAGAGUCUCACUCUGUCACCCAGGCUGGAAUGCAGUGGCACGAUAUCGGCUCAGUGCAACCUCUGCCUCCCGGGUUCAAGUGAUUUUCCUGCCUCAGCCUCCUGAGUAGCUGAGACUACAGGUGCCCGACACCACGCCUGACUAAUUUUUGUAUUUUUAGUAGAGAUGGGGUUUCGCCAUGUUGGCCAGGCUGGUCUCGAACUCCUGACCUAAGGUGAUCCACCCGCCUCAGCCUCCCAAAGUGCUGGGAUUACAGGCAUGAGCCACCGCGCCUCGCCUGCUUUGUUUUUUUAAUGGUCACUGUAUAGUUUAUAGUCCACAUCUUUAACUUCUCGCAGUCUACAUUCAAGUGCUACUGCACUCCACACUCCAGCGUGGGUGACAGAGCGAGACUCUGUCUCAAAAACAGACAAACAAAAAAACUAACAAAACAGGUCUACCCUGGAGUCAUACUCUAAUUUUUUCUAUUUUCCUCCCUUUCUGAUCCUUUAUCCCACUUUCUUUUUCUUCCUCUUCCUUCUCCUUCUUCUUUGUCAAAUAGAGGAUUGAGUUAUUAUCACUGAUCCAUAUAAAGUCCCUCUCUCAUUUAUUUUAAUUCCCACUCCCCAUUUCUAUUCCCCGUCUUCCCAUGUGCAACCUCCCUAAUAUGUUUGAUAUGCAUCUUUUUGUUUGUAUGUAUUUUUAGAAAAUGUUUAUUGUUUUGUGUGCGAAAAAAAUUAAUAAAAAAAAAAGCAAAAAAAAAAAAGAA